rnacentral:lncRNA from 1 species
CUGAUCCCUUUCGUUGUAUGGCGUGCUCGUUUGGGUUGGGCGUCGGCUAAGAGUGCUCGAAGCGUGGAUUAACUCCAGUCUCCUAUCAGGUGUGUAUUUCUUACUACUCUAGCUGUAGGAUGGCUACUUCGGGCCGCGAUGGGCCGAAAGGGGUCAUGUGGGCCUAAUGGGCUUAAUGGGCCUACAGGCCCAAUUGGAUAAGUUGUUUGAUUGUGUAGUAAAUAUAGGGCUAGGCUAGGUGAAUCUAAUAUUUGUGGCUAGAUUUGGGCUAAAAGGGCCACACGAGCGUGUGGGCCCAUUUGGGCCGAGAAUGGGCUUUAGGGCCAUUAGUAUUGUUAUCCAUGUUUAGAAUACUUUAGUUUACCAAGUAUUGAAAUACCCUCGACUUGUAAAAUUACCAAAGUACCCCCGAUUUACAUAAUUACCAUUUUACCCUCGAUUUAUAGAAUUACCGUUUUACCCUUGAUUUAUAGAAUUACUAUUUUACCCUCGAUUUACAAAAUUACUAAAAUACCCUUGGUUUACAAAAUUACCAAAAUACCCUCGAUCAGUAAAAUUACCAAAAUACCCUGGUCUGUAAAAUUGCUAAAAUACCCCUGGUUCCCCUAGUUUGUAAAAUUACCAAAAUACCACUGGUUUGUGAAAUUACCAAAAUACCCUUAAUUUGUAAAAUUACCAAAAUACCCCUGAUUUACAAAAUUGCAGAAAUACCCUUGACUUUCUAAAAAUUAUAGAAAUACCAUUGGUUUACAAAAUUACUGAAAUACCCUUGGUUUGUAGAUUUACCAAAACACCCUUGUAGGGUGAAAUGACUAAAAUACCCCUAUUAGGUAAAAAGACCGUAAAGCCCCUGUAGGGUAAAGUGACCGUAAUACCCCUGUAUGGUAAAAUGACGAAUAUGCCCUUAUGUUCCGUAUGACUGAUGUGCUUAGGAUUUACAUAUAUCGAUAUUGGAUUAGUUAAGUUUGAGUGACAGGUGGUGGUUAUCGUAGGCGAUUGAUUUUGGAAACAUUUCAACUUCAACCCGUAACAGGUGUGUACUAACCCUCGUAAUAGCUUAGAUUAAUAUUUGCUGAGAAGCCGAAAUGCUAAAAUACCGGUAUUUCGGGAACUUGUAAUGUUGCGUGUGGGUAUAGAUGCGAUAAAUACGAUAAGAUCGGUGUUUGGAUCGAUGGAACGGGUAAGAACUCAAUUUUGUGCACGAUGGUAAGUGGGGCUCAAUAGGCAGGAAUUGGGCCAAAUGGGCUUUUGGGCCCAUUUGGGUAAAAUUGAUAGAAAAUGGAAUUUGGAAAAGUUGCAUGUUAACACGGUUAGUAUUGUUGUAAAAUUUAGGUUAAGCAGGCUUAGUGGGCUAAAUCAGCAUUCGUAGGGCCCAUUAGGGUUUUGGCCCAAAAGCCCGAAUUUGAUAAGUGGGUUAAAGAUCAUUGUUUAAACACUCGGAAAUAUUAAAAAUUGUAAUGAACAUGGAAAACCCUGAUUUUUGGUAAAAUUACGAAAAUACCCUUAUAAUAUGAAAAAUAAUUGUUUUGCCCUUGUGGGCAAGUGAUUAACUUGGACUGUGUGGUUGACGGAUUUGAUUGUGAAUAUAUGUUGGUGAUAUGAAUGACUUGACUGUGAUUGUUUGAUUCAAAUAUGGGCAUGACAUUCUGCAUACAUGACAUGUUGCAUGGGUUGGGUUUUAUAAAUGGAGGAAGUGCUAAAAGGGCUAUGCCCCAGUUUACCGAAAAGGGCUUUGCCCCAGUUUACCGAAAAGGGCUUUGCCCCAGUUUAUCAAAAGGGCUUUGCCCUAGUUAUUAAAAGAGGCUAGGCCUCCAGAUAUAUGAUAAAGCAGCUAUGCUGCCAGUGGUGUGUUGGUUGGGUGGGUUGAAUCAUUCCCCACAUGGUGUGUUGGUUGGUACGGGUGGAGAGUAGCGGAUGGUGGGUCGAGUAGUCUCCCCAAAUGGGCUUGCAUACAUCCAUUGACAUUACAUGUGAUAUUGAAAUAGGCCUAAGGGCCAUACCAUUUACAGUAAAGGCUUCAGCCCAGUGAUAUGAUUUAUGAUAAGGCUUUGGCCCAGUAACCGUUAAACAAAAGGCUUCGGUCCAGUAUAUGCCAAGACUAAAUAGGGCUUUGGCCCAGAUUGUACUGACACUGUGUUUUCACUGUUUGUUUGUUAUUGGGAUUACACACUGAGUUUUCGUAAACUCACCCCAUUUCUAACUGUGCAGGUAAUCCCUAAGCUUAGAUGGUUUGGAGUUGCGAGGGACUCGGAGAUGGCCACACUACUGUUUCUGGUUCUUUAAAUUGUAAUAAGUAGCCGAUUUAUUUUUUUAUAAGUUUUAUCUUAUUAAUAUUAUUAUUUGGUUUUGGGUUGUAAUAAGGCCAUUUUAAUUAUUUUUUUGGGAUUAUUUUAUUUUAUACCCUAUAUUUUUCUAAUAACAAUAUGAGUUAGACCUAGGGCGUAUUUCCAAAAUGAUAAUUGUUUUCAAAAUAAACGAACGAUACAAUUAAUCGGUUUAUCAAAAAUAUCGACUUAAAUGAAUUGCAACUCGUUUUUUUCAAAACUAACCUAGCACCAAAGUGUGGCAAUGGUUGUGGGCAUGCCUAGAAUUGGAUCCAAUCAAG